rnacentral:rRNA from 1 species
GACGAACGCUGGCGGCGUGCUUAACACAUGCAAGUCGAACGGAAAGGCCCUGCUUUUGUGGGGUGCUCGAGUGGCGAACGGGAGAGUAACACGUGAGUAACCUGCCCUUGACUUUGGGAUAACUUCAGGAAACUGGGGCUAAUACCGGAUAGGAGCUCCAGAUGCAUGGUGGGGGUUGGAAAGUUUCGGCGGUUGGGGAUGGACUCGCGGCUUAUCAGCUUGUUGGUGGGGUAGUGGCUUACCAGGGCUUUGACGGGUAGCCGGCCUGGGAGGGUGACCGGCCACAUUGGGACUGAGAGACGGCCCAGACUCCUACGGGAGGCAGCAGUGGGGAAUAUUGCACAAUGGGCGGAAGCCUGAUGCAGCAGCGCCGCGUGCGGGAUGACGGCCUUCGGGUUGUAAACCGCUUUCGCCUGUGACGAAGCGUGAGUGACGGUAAUGGGUAAAGAAGCACCGGCUAACUACGUG